AUGAACGCUGGCGGCGUGCCUAAUACCUGCAAGUCGAGCGAACAGACGAGGAGCUUGCUCCUCUGACGUUAGCGGCGGACGGGUGAGUAACACGUGGAUAACCUACCUAUAAGACUGGGAUAACUUCGGGAAACCGGAGCUAAUACCGGAUAAUAUAUUGAACCGCAUGGUUCAAUAGUGAAAGACGGUUUUGCUGUCACUUAUAGAUGGAUCCGCGCCGCAUUAGCUAGUUGGUAAGGUAACGGCUUACCAAGGCGACGAUGCGUAGCCGACCUGAGAGGGGAUCCGCCCAACUGGAACUUGAGACACGGCCCAGACCCCCAGGGGGGGCAGAAGGAGGGAAUUUUCCGAAAGGGGGGAAAGCCUGACGGAGCAACGCCGGGGGAGGGAGAAAGGUUUUCGGACUGAAAAACUUUUUUUUUGGGGAAAAACAAAUGUGUAAGUAACUAUGCACGUCUUGCCGGUACCAAAGAAGAAAGCACCGGUAAACUACGG
rnacentral:rRNA from 1 species